rnacentral:rRNA from 1 species
GACGAAGGGGCUAGCGUUGUUCGGAAUUACUGGGCGUAAAGCGCGUGUAGGCGGUUAUCCAAGUCAGGUGUGAAAGCCUUGAGCUCAACUCAAGAAAUGCACUUGGUACUGGGUGACUAGAGGACCGGAGAGGAUAGUGGAAUUCCCAGUGUAGUGGUGAAAUACGUAGAGAUUGGGAAGAACACCAGUGGCGAAGGCGGCUAUCUGGACGGUUUCUGACGCUAAGACGCGAAAGCGUGGGGAGCAA